GCAUCCAAAAAGAACCAAAACAAAAAAGAAAAUCUUCGGCCGACAUCAAUGAGGUAAGAGUUAUACUCAAAACUUUUAAUCCCUGUUCAAAACCAAAAAUUGAUGAAAUUAGAUUAGGGUUUAUCAAAUCGUGAGAGAUUGAGUGGAUAACAAAAGUGGUCAAAUUAGAUAUGGUUAGUACAAAUCCAAGAAGUGAUAGUAAGUUCUUUAUCGCUUGUAUGCAAUAAGAGAAGAAUUGCUACAUUUUGACAAGUUAAAAAGAAAAAUAAUUUCAAGAUUUUGCGACCCUUUAUCACGGCAUUUCAAGUAACAAUUGCAAUGAGAUGAACCCCAAAUAGCCACAUGGUAUUUUGUAAUUCAUGGAAACAAAAAGUACAAUAUUUGAAGGUACGAUGUUAGGUGUAUCCCCUUGUCAAAAAAAGUUCUACCAUAAAGAAGAAAAGAUCUUUAUAUAUUAAAGCUAUAAAGUUAUUACUUUUGCAAUUUUGUCAACGUUGGCACUUUUAUGUCAAACAAGGAAAAACACUUUAUUUUUACUGUGUACUUUUAACAUUGGCAGCUUUUCUUAUAUUAUAUAGUAUCAGCUUUUGAGUCGGGUUAAGUGGAAUCAAUCUUUAUUAGUUGCUACCCCCGCCAGCUAUGCGAUGUUAAUAUAUAUAAUGGAAUUGGAACUCAAGACCAUUGUUUUAGAAUUCAAGUAGCUAUGCUAUGUUGAGAAAAACAUUGUUGUACUCACAAAGUUUGAUGAAUAAUAAAUAAUAGAGAGAUUUGCUAAAAAAAAGUAUAACUCAACAUAACACAUUGGACCUAUGCAGUUAUUUUUUAAGUUUGCAUUCGCAUAAUCAAUGGGUUUUUUGCAACAACAUUUGUGUAUCUGAUAUAGAAACAUUAUAUAACAUUAUACACUUACUAUAAGUUAAUAAUGUAUAAGAGAUAUUUGUACACACUUUUACACCGUUUUACAAAAUUAUAUAGCGUUAUAAAAAACUAUAUAUAAAUGUUGAGUUUCGUCUCCUAUGAAUUUGAACUCAUGUAUAACAUCAUAUAAUAGUUUAAAUCUUCACCGAGUAGAUUUAAAUUUUAACCACAACUUUAGAAUGACAUUCUUAACGAACCCAAAUCAUUAAUUUGUCAAACAUUUUCUAUAAAAUACAAGAUUCAUUUAUGAGUUUUUAUGAUUUUAAAACCCAACAAUGAAGUUUUAAAUUUUUAAUUUUAAUUCACUCAACAAUGUUUAAAUUUGUGGUGACAAAUGAGUAACAUUCUCAAUUAGGUUUUAGCGUAGAUCUACCUAAUACCUUAUUAAUAGGUUAUUCUUUUUUUAAAUUAUACACAACAAAAUAAUGAUAAAAAAUGAAAGCCCACAUGAAGACCUAAGUGCAUAGGUAUUUCUGUUUUAUGAAGUUCAAGUAAUUAAAAUAUUAAGAGCAUCGUUAUUAUAAUAGAGAGGUCCAAGGCCUAAAAAUCUUCAUAAAUUAAAUAGAUAUGUACCACUUAGAAGCAUGUUUGCAACAAAUUAUUUGUGAUACAAAAAUAAAUUACAACCACAAUAUAAAUAUGAAGAAACAUAGUUUUAUUGAUAAAAUGGUGCGGGUACAAUUCUGUUUGUUUCCUUGAUUCUUCUCUCUAGAUCUUUCAUCGUGAUUCGAGGAGUUAACCAACAUAUUUCUCAAAUAUAGGAUGAUGCGAACUUCCUUAGGAUAUAUUUGAUCUCCAGAAAAAGGAAGAACAUUCGUUGAUCACUUCGGUAGCUUUGAGAAAGACAAUAUUUGAUGUAUUUCAUCUCUUUAUGAAUAUUCCAUGAAUUUUUACGGAAUUUCGAGAUGCUCUCAAAGGGAAUAUGUAUCCCCCUUUUAUAGGUGUAGCUAGGGUUUUAGGUAGAGUAACCUCCAAGUUAGGAUUUCAGAUAGAGUAGCCUCCAAGAAACCUCGAUUGACUCUACUUAUAGUAUCUUAAAUUUAGGAUCAAACCCAAAUUUCAUAUGAAUUUGAUCCGAUAAAAUUUUGAUGUCUACAAAUGCCCCCAACUUCAAGGCUUGUUGGGGCGUAGAUUUACAAGAUCGUCGUAGACGAGGCUUGAAGUACCAGUAAAGAAGACACCACAUUCUUUUCACCGUGAGAGAAGAGAUGAAGGGCAGAUUUGGUCCCACUGGGCAUGCCAAUUUGUUUGCAACAAAUUAUUAGUGAUACAAAAAUAAAUUGCAACCACAAUAUAAAUAUGAAGAAACAUAGUUUUAUUGAUAAAAUGGUGCGGGUACAAUUCUGUUUCUUCCCUUGAUUCUUCUCUCUAGAUCUUUCUCCGUGAUUUAAGGGCUUAACCAGCAUAUUUCUCGAACAUAGGAUGAUGCGAACUUCCUUAGGAUAUAUUUGAUCUCCAGGAAAAGGAAGAGCAUUCAUUGAUCACUUUGGUGGCUUUGAGAAAGAUAAUAUUUGAUGUCUUUGAUCUCUUUAUGAAUGUUACAAGAUUUUUUAUGCAAUUUCGAGAUGCUCUCAAAGGAAAUAUGUGGCCCCCUUUUAUAGUUGUAGCUAGGGUUUUAGGUAGAGUAGCCUCCAAGUUAGGGUUUCAGAUAUAGUAGCCUCCAAGAAACCUCGAUGGACUCUACUUUUAGUAUCUUAAAUUUAGGAUCAAACCCAAAUUUCAUAUGUAUUUGAUCCGAUAAAAUUUUGAUGUCUACAAAGCAAAAAUGAAUGUCUUUAACAUAUGUUUGCUAUAUGUUAUAAGAAUCUUUUGACAAGAUGAACACUCAAAUCUUUGCGAUAUAGGCCUUAAUGGAUGCAAAAUAUGACAUAUACCCCUUCCCAACCAUUUGUUGGCCUUUAAAUAUGAAACCACCCUGCUGGGAACAUAAUUCAGCGAACCUCUCCACUCGAUCCUUGGCGACCCCGGAAUUGCCAACGUCAAGGUCUUAGCGUGACAAUCUAGAAUAGUAUGACAUGGAAACAACCAAUCCAUACCCAAAAUCACGUCUAAAUCAACCAUACUAAGCAAUAAGAGUUCAACUCUAGUCUCCAAUCCUCCAAUGGUCACCACACACUAUAAAGCCUCGUAAAAUUUUGCCAAGGAAUUUAAGAUUUUGUGGUGUCGAGGUAGACUAAUAGGUUUGAGGAUUGUAGAAAACGAGCCACGGUAUAGACUUUUUGGGUUGUACAAUGCAUUAGGGAAUUAGAGGUAAAUUCUUGCAGAAAAUGGCAUUUCUACGGUCAAUUAUGCGACCGCAGAAUACUACGCGCACCGCAGAUCCGUUGCAGAGUGGAACAUAAAAAAUGGGAAAAUUUUGAAAACUAUUCUGCUGGCCACAUAACUAUUAUGCUGGCCACAUAAUCAUUCUACAGGCUACAUAAAUAUUCUGCUAGCCACAUAUCUAUUCUAUUAGCCACAUAAUCGAUUCUGCUGCCCACAUAUUUAUUCUGCUGGCCACAUAUCGAUUAUGCUACUACAUAAUUACACUAUAUAAUUGACUUCGGGGGUCAUUUUUGGAAAUAUUCUUAUCCGACCCUAUUUUGAUAUAAGGCCUUAGGGGGUCAUUUUAUAAGAUAAACUCUGAUAUUUUUAGAAAGAAGUGAGAGUAUCUUAGAGAGAGAGAGAAAAAAGACCUAGCAAUUUUAUUCAUCCAAUUUUGCCCAAAAUCUUCAAGAAUCAUGGAAGCCACUCCCAAAACCAUCAUAUAUCCAGGUAAGUCACUCUUCUAAACUUUAUGCAAGAAGUUAUGGAUCUAUAUAUGUUGUGGGUUAGAGAUAGGCCAUGCAUGUGACAUUAGGAGGUAGUGUGUGAGGUUAUUGAACAAUUUUGGGUGGUUUCUUGUUGAAAUUGGUUAAUGGAGGAAGGUAUUAUCAUUGUAAAGCUUUGAAGAUGAUUUUUCAUAGUAGGGGUUUGACAAAAUUCCCAAGAGACUUAUGUCAUGAGAAUCCUUCUAAUUAUUAUCCGAUUUUCGUUAUCUUUCUAUAGAUAGAACUUGCUAAGAGUAUUGGGAUGUGUAGUAAUCUAAGAAAAGCUCAAGCAAGGUAUGUUGGCUAAACUACUCUCUUAGAAUUGAAUUCCAUGAUGUUUUCGUAAGUUCCAAGUAUGGUUGGCUCAAGUUCCUAAUUCUCGUGUUCCGAGUUGUUCCUAAUAAAUUCAAUUAUCCCGAGUAAACAAAGUGUCGAAAGUUAUGUAUUCAAAACAUAUUCUGAAUGCUCCUAUCACAUUAUGUUAUACGUCAUGAAUGUGUUCAAGAAUAAUGUGUGCAUUAAAAGAUUAUGACUUUGAGUCAUGUUUCAAGUGGAAGUUAUGAUGCAGAAUUAUGUGAGAAAAACGCGAUGUGCUUAAGACUCUUAAUUGCUCAUAUGUGUACCUAAAGUCUUGAUUUAAAAUGCCUUAUUGUUGAUAAUCUAUAAAGAUGCUUGAAAGUGAAAUAAGUGAGUUGGAGAUAUAAAGUGUGGCCACCGUGCCAAGAAUGAAAUUUAUACUUAUGGCUAAUAGUGCCAAUGAAAUAAAAUGAUGUGAGAAAGGUUAUGAAAUGAACCUUGAUUCAACUAUUACAAAUUGACUUCGAAAAUAGAUUUGCCUAAAAGCUUAUGUCCUCAAGUCAUGCCCCAAUGUGGUUGUUUUAACUAAUGUAUGCUUUGUAAGUAUUUCCAAUAUGUUUUAAGUUUUUACAUAUUCAUGAGUUGAAAUUGUGUAUUGCCCUUUCAGGGAAAAAGUAUUUCAAGAUGUAUACGGUGAAAUCAGAGGGUUCAAUUUCUCGCCAUUAAAGUGUUUUUGGGGAGUCAUAUCGAGAUUUCGAGGCUGUAGGGUUGUGCUCGGGUUCUCUCCCUCCAGGUUCAUUUACGCUCGACCCAAUGACGAUCCCGAAGGUGGGGAAUUCCUGAGGCGAGCAGAUAGCACCGGCAGAGUCUAAUAUCACGUCUAGCCGUCUCAUCUCCGUAUCUUUACAAUUAAUGCAUUCUACACUAUGUUGUAUUUUCCCCUCCUAUAUAAAGGGGAUCCUCACCACUUUGUAAAGGGUUGAUGUUGCUCUAACUAUUCUACACAAGAUCAAUAACAUCUCUCUCUCUCUCUUUUUUCUCUCUAACUUACUCGCUCGAGACUACCUCUUUCAUUUAUUGAUUUCAUACUUGUUCUUCAUUUAUUGCUUGAUGUUGGCCAUAAAGAGCCUCCUUUAAUUAUAUCCUAACUGUUAGCCCUUUCCUCAUUAUCCCUGAUAGCUCGAGCUCGAGCCCAGGCAUCGACUCGAGGCCCCUCAUCGGUCAGUCCGAGGCCCGGACAGCAAGCCCCUCGGUUUGAUCACAGCUCUAUUCUAGCUCGUGUUUUAUCUUUUAUCUUCAUAUAUCUAGCAUCAGCCGCUCUAACAACUAGCAUAAAAAUAGAUCAUGUAUUUUUAGAGUCCCAUCAACAAAUUUAAUUGUUAUUACCAUUUUCACAGUAAACAGUUUAGCACCCACCGUGGGGUUAAAAAUAAUAGUGAUUAUGUUCUUGCUGAUUUCGUCACACAACACAAGUUAUCUUUCACACUUCUUCUUGUCCAAGAUCUUCGAUUUCAGGUCAAAAUGUCUGGCUCAGUGAACAGAGUCAAGAACGACAACCUCGAAAACCACUGAGAAAACAGUGUGGUUGUUCCAGUUGUCAACGCACCGUUGCAGAACCCCGAUAACGCACCUGGACCGAUUCUAGCGAACGCGGAUUCGCAAAACAUGCAUCAGGUCGACGAAACCUCACACACUGACAAGAGCAUACUACAUGGCGACCAAUAGGAAGCCCAAAAAACCCCACCCCGGGAAGAAUAGGAAGUUAGUCUUCAUGUUAUUUUUGAAAUAUUGCAGACACAACAGUUGGCUAUCGCUCAGUUGCAAAGCCACACGAAGACUCCCAGCACAGUAGCACCGGAAACUACUCCCCCAGCCGAACAGGUACCGGAGACAUGGAGCAACAACAGAUCGGUAGGCGAUCAUGCCAUCAUGAAAAUGCUGGAGGACCUCACCAAAAGGAUCGAGUCAUGAAAGUAAAUGAUAGCAGCCAACGACAAGAAGGUCGAAACCUAUAACUUCAGAGUCGACCAAAUCCCGGGCAUACCCCCGGUCCUGAAGGGUGUAGAUUCAAAGAAGUUUGUACAACGACCGUUCCCAGAGGAAGCGGCUCAGAAACCCAUUCCAAAGAAGUUCAGAAUGCCAGAAAUCCCAAAAUACAAUGGGACCUCAGAUCCCAACGAACAUGUCACUGCCUACACGUGCACGGUAAAGGGCAAUGACAUAAAGGAAGACGAGAUCGAGUCCGUCUUACUGAAGAAGUUCGGAGAUACGCUCUCGAAAGGGGCCAUGAUGUGGUAUCACAACCUAGCUCCUAACUCCAUAAAUUCAAUUCCCAUGCUAGUAGAUUCCUUCAUAAAGGCUCAUGCCGGUGCCAUCAAGGUAGCAACAAGGAAGUCUGAUGUAUUCAAGAUUAAGCAAAGGGAGAACGAAAAGCUGCGAGAAUUCGUGUCUCGUUUCCAGAAGGAACGAAUGGAACUACCCCCGUCUCCGACGACUGGGAAGUUCAGGUCUUCACUCAAGGCCUGAAUGAAUAAAGCUCGGUGGCCUCAAGGUAGCUGAAAAAGAAUCUGAUCGAAUAUCCCGUCGUAACCUGGUCAGACGUCCACAAUCGAUACCAGUCAAAGAUCAGGGUCGAGGAUGACCAACUAGGAGCUCCCUCGGGCUCAGUAUAUCCGAGCAGACUCCUGGCGAAGGAGUCAAAAUCAAAUAAAGAGAGGUAUCAGCCGUACCCCGAUGAUAGGAGGAAUGCCCCAAGAUGCAAUCCGCCACGCAAUGAUCGAUUGGUGAACAGAGGACAGAACCCUCAGGGACCCAUCAAUAGAGGUGGUUUUGACGGGGACACAGGGCCAAUAGUGGCACCACGCCCAUCAGAAUAUAACUUCAACGUCGAUAUAUCAGACAUCGUGUUUGCCAUCAGCAAAAUCAGGGACGCAUGAUGGCCCAGGCCUAUACACUCAGAUCCUUUCCAAAGUAACUACAACUUGAUAUGCGAGUUUCACACCUCGCACGGGCACAGAACUGAGGAUUGCAGGCAACUCCAGGAGGAAAUGGCCCGGCUACUCGAUGACGGGCACCUUCGGGAAUUCCUCAGCAACCGAACUAAAAACCAGUCCCGAGAAAGAGAAACAACAAAAAAGACAAAGCAGAUGAACCCCAAUACAUCAUCCACACGAUUUUUUAAUGCACGCCCUCGGUCGUAUUCAUAUGAAGGGCUACAUCGCAUCCGCCAAACGUACGCUAGAACCCAAGAGCGCUAUCGCCACUAAGGUAUAAUCAUCUCUCCCUUUUUCUAUCUUUUACUUCAUGGUAACUCUUGCGCAGGCCAGUGACCAAAGCAGUCGAGACACCGAUCUGGCACGAGGGCACUAAGGUUUCAAAGCGUCUGUUGCACUCUUUUCCUUCGACCGAGUUUUUAUCCCGAGAUGGGUUUUUGCCGGCAAGGUUUUUAACGAGGAAAUGUCCACACGCUACCUAAAGAGGACCCAACAAGCUUACAAGGCUUCUCUUGCAAUCAACCCUGUACCAGGAAAUGGAAAACGAAGUUCCAGUAGUAAAUGAUGUACCGGGACAAACGGUCGAACAAACAGUGUUCGCAUAAGCCGGGCUUACAGAAAGAAAACAACAUGUACUUACGCCAAGAAAUCAAAGAAUAUCUUUCACCAAAAGCAUCUCAUACUCCAAAGAAAAUUCAGCAUGUUCACGGCAAGGAUCCCUCCAUCGAGUACGUCCCAAAAUACUCAGAGACUAGCGUCAAUAAUUUAAUACAUGCAUGGCCUCAAGGUCAGAAAUCCAUGCUCAUAAGCCCUCAAUGAGGCAAUUCUGAGCUCACAAGUAACGUCCUUCGAGCCUAAGCAAACUCGAUGACUCGGAGACUGAUGCCAAUCGCCAUUCACGUAAAACCUGAGGCCAUAAGACCCCGAGCGGGCAAACUCGGUCUAGAAAGAUCUAUUUAAUAUAGCAACAAAAGCUGUAAGACCUCAACAGGCAUGAAAGAAUUAUAAGACCUCAACAGGCAUGAAAAAAUUGUAAGACCUCAACAGACAUGAAAAAGUUGUAAGACCUCAACAAGCAUGAAAAAACUAUAAGACCUCAUUAGGCAUGAAAAUUUUGUAAGACCUUACUACAGUCAUAAAACUCGAUCCCGAAGUUUAGGCUAUAUACUGCAUUUGUAAGACUCCCGAAAGUGCAUACCCUCAAUGUAGAUGCCUAAACUACCACACUCGGGAUCAAAAAUAGCUCCGGCCAAACACAAAUGACUACGGUCAAUACGGCUGCACCAGCCAAAUUAACGCGACUCGGGGACGCCCGACUGUCACUAUAAAAUCACAGGCCAUUACUUCGAAUCUACUUCGAAAAGAACCAGUUAAACAGGCUACCCUCAAAUAGGUAAACGAGCUUCGACCAUGUCAGCUCCAAAUCACAAGGUUCGAGCUACUCAGCCUACGAGCUAAACCUUCCGAGGUGCUCGAACAUCGCCGCAAACGACUUGAAAUCGAGGUUCUUCCCGAACAGACGACGGGUCAGACAAAAUUAUUUCAAAAAGUCCUUAACGAGAGGAAAACAAAGCCUACAUAUGCUUAAGUGCCACACACACUAAACGUUCGCAAUGACCAAAAGCGUAAUAGCCACUGUCACUAGCUUAAAAUUUUUGAAAGCUUGAGGGUCAAAAUGAGCUCGAGUCGUAACCUGAUUCGGAGACCGGAUCCAAAAUAGUUAACUAAUACAUCCCUAAGGGAAAAGGCGUAAGAGCCAUCGCCGCAAGCUUCAUGAGCCUCAGGGCCACAUACAUAAAAGGUCACUUCUACCCAAGGCGUAAGAGCCACUGUCGCCAGCCCAUGCAGAUAUAAAACUUGAGGAUCGAUUGAGCUCGAGUCGAAGCCCGACUCGGAGACUAAACCCAAAACAGUUAAAAUGCGUAUGCCCAAGGGCAAAAGAUAAAAGCCGUUGUCGCCAGCCUAAUGAACCUCACGGCCGUACCACGGGUUCGAAGAUUCCUACUAAUUCAAAGGUCGAAUCGACCCGAUUGAGAUCCUAGCAAACAGAAAACAGAAGACACAAAGUGCGGGGUUCCCCAUUUUUUACAUACAGGCGAUCAAAUACAAGCUCCGUCUACAACAUAUUAUGAAAACUAUGUACAAAAGAACAAGGCAGGGAAUAAAUGUACCCCAUCGGUGACUAUGGCCCGGCGGCCCCCUCCUCACCAUCUUCAGCAUCGGACAGAAGGAACUUGGUAUCAUACUCCUUUCCUUUUGCUUGCUAGAUCUCCCCUAAGAGAUCAAAGCCCCUGGCAUGAAUCUCCUCGAGAACUUCCCUCCGGGAUCUACACCUCGCAUACUCCUUGCUACUGCUUGCACGAUCAAGGGAUCUCUUCAGUUCAGCUUUAGCAAUGGCAGCACUCUUUGAAUAGGCCACUGCUUUCUGUCCCACCCUGGUAUAGCUCAUCACAACUUCAGUCCAGACAUUCACUGCCUCUGUCUUCGCCUUUGAAAGUUCGGACGAGAGCCUUGCGAUCAUAUUCGCCCGAGCAGAAUUAUCCGCGCAAACAGUCUGGAUUUGCGCCUCAAGAGCAGAAGCCAUGGCUACAGCACUCUCUAGCCGCAAAAUGGGUACUUACAUGCUCCUGUACCUCGUUGAAUUCACAUUUGGCUCGACCAACCUUGCCCUAGAGCUGUCCCAGCUCCUCCGCCUUGUCUUUCAACUGAAAUAUCAAAACAUCAAGACGCUGAGGUAAAAAUGGGGAAUGCAAGCCAGAGUGAAAUACAGGGUACCUAAUUCUCCAGGCGGAUCUCACGGGUCAGGCUUCGGUCCACCUUGCGCCGCAGGGAAACCAGCUCACUUUCCUUUUCCGCACAAAGAAGCUUAAGGGAUUUCUCGUUAUCUAAAGCUUCCCGUAAUGGGGCUUCACUACGAAGCAGCUCGGAUUUAAGAUUGUCAAAGGCCUAUGAAAGAAAGCUAAAUAAAAAAAAAGAGAAAGGCACGGGGCAGGAAUAAUCUUACAGCAAUCAAAACCCACCAUAAGGUCAAGCCGUUGAGCCUCGCCGAAGCCGAAGCAACAUCCGAUGGUGUACCGCCUUCAGAAGGUGGCCGAUUGACCGAAUCGCUUCUCCUUGAUCGUUGAGAAGGUGUCACCUCACUACAAGCCCUUUCACACCCCGGAGCAUCUUUUUAUUUGUCAUCACUCCUCUAUCUCGAGGCCAACAAUCUCUUCUCCUCCCCCGAAGGACACGGCCUCAUUUCGAAAGAACCCCCAGCACCUGCGACAGUUGAGUUAAAUAAGCUAGAAAGAAACGUGCCAUUUUCUUGGAAGCAAAGCACAGGACACCUACCACAAUGUUUCGCCUCCCAUCUCCCUUUGGACAGAUUUCUCCACCGGCGCCUAUCAUAAAUCGAGCAAGGGACCACUCGGCUAAAUCGGGGACCUCGUUCUGCGACCAAUGAGUUGCUAUAAAUAUGGAACAGAAAGAUAUCAUUACGGAGCCUGCCUCCUGUCAAAAUGAUGAUAGUUCAGAGGAGACACUUACGUGUGAAGUUCAUUUCUCGUGAAAUGGAAAAUAUUCUCUAGGAAUGACAUCGAUGGUUCGAAUCCGAACGAACCGAUUCAUCCAUUCACGGUCCUCGUCCUCCUCUCUACCGACGACAGGAGCUUGUGUAUACGCUAAAAAAUCAAUGUAUGUCAUGACGCUCUCCUCGGGAGAAGGUACUUGUAAUACCAUGCCUUCUCCCCACCCGCAUUCUUUUCUGAUCAUUUCGAGGUUUUCCUCUCCCACUGAUAAGAUGAUCCUCGACACAUGCUCCCGGUGACCCGGAACAUUGGGAGGCCUCCCCAACGUGACAACUCUCCUCGAGGCAAGGCACCCCAAGUCUCGCUCACCGGACAUCGGAGGUGAGUCGCUAUCACUUACCGAGUGCAGAACACAGGAAGAAUUCCCCUCUACCCGACGAUCGAACGUCAACGUAGCAGUCAUGGCUACGGUAGAAUAGGAGGGAAAAGAUGUGGGUCUAAGCAAAAAUUUUGAAUUGGGGGAGAGAAAGGACUAGAACAAAGCGCUUGGCUCUACGGAAGAGAUAGUCUAUCAAAGCAGCAGAAUCACCACUGGAAAGGCGCAUGAAUCCAUAUAUAUAUAAUUGUGGAAAAUAAAAUGGUGAGGUGGCACCUCUCUUUGGCCAAGAAAUUCACUUAUCUUUUUUCUCAUUUUUUUGAGUUUCCCCCCUCAUUUUUUCAUUUAUUUUAUUUUUAGUACCCCAAAAAUCUCUAUAAGAUAACAUAUAACCAUUUCCUCUAUUAAUUGUGUUCAUAACUCCCAAAUAUUUUAUUUAUUUUGUUUACCCACUCUUCAUAUUCUUAAAGGACACGUUCAAAAGAACAUGUUAAUUACAAUUAUACUUGAUAGAUUUAAUAGUUCAUUAAAAUUACACUUGAUAAGUUCAAUACUCAUUCCAUUAAUUACAAUUACUCACUAGACAUUAUUCUUUCCAUUUCUAUUACCCAAUGUCAGUUACGAAUUAUAUUGGUUAUUAUAAAUAUUAUGUUAUAAAUACUAACACACAUCCUAUUCUUCAUAGCUUUCUUCUUUUCUUCAUUAAUAAUUCCUCUCUUUUUCGUUCGAAACUUUGUAUACAUAAAAUUUCUUUCUUCUUUUUCCUUUUUCUUUUUUUUUUCUUUUGUUGUUAUUUCUUUUGCCGAAAUUAUAUUAUUUCGUACAAUUUUUUUGUGCAUAAUUUUGGUUAUGGAGUAAGGAAGAGUUGAACAUAUGGCAUUAUUUGUGGUUAGUAUUUGAGAAUUCAGUUCAAGCUUGAUGAUGAAUACGCUAUCAUUAAUGAUAUUAUAUGCAUAUUUUGCUAUUCUUUUAGUAUAUUGCAGGCGUGUAGUGUUCUGCAUAUAUUCAAAAUUUCAAAUGCAAUAAUCUUACCUUUUGAUUUGGCAUAAAAAUACCCUAUAUAUUUUAGAUUUUAGGAAUAAUUGUAUGCAAUUCACAUUGAAUUUUGGUUUUGGUUUUUAUUUUUUCAAACAACUAAAAAUGAAUUGAGGAUGAUUGAUUAUAUAGUUGUUCAAGACAACUGAUAACUUGAGAAAAUGUGAUUAUUUUCCUCAUGUCAAAUAACUGAAAUAAUUUGUAUGUGUAUGCAAACAGUAGGGAAACAAAAGAGGAACCUUAAGGAGCGUCUCAACUUCUUUGCACGUAUUAAGGAAUUUCGACAGAGUUUUGAACAUAUUGUCUCAACAAGUUCUUCAAAUAAUCUACCAUUGAUGGCUAAGGGUUUUCCUUUUAUCGAUUUGGAAGGAAGACUGUAUAUGGUCACUCGCGAUUAUGUAUCUCUUAAGCUAAAUAUGAUUGAAAAUCUUAUUUUAUAAAAUUUCCUAUUUAAGUACCGUAAACGAAGGAUAAUUGAAGUGUUUAGAAGUUGAGCAAUAUUGCAAAAUAAAUGCUUAAUUAUUUUACAGUAUUCAUAGUAGUAACAUAUCUGUCAAAUUGAUCAAGCUAUUUAUGAUAAUAAAUUUUAUAUUUGUGAUAUAAUCAUUUUGUAUAAUUAAUUUAUACUCCUAUAUGCAUAUAGGUAAAGCUACAUAUUUAUUUUCUCAACUAAAUAAAAAAUAUUAUUUCAAAAGUUAUUUUAUUAAACCGCGCAAAGCGCGGAGAAAUUCACUAGUGAAUAUAUAGGGGCAAAGCAGCAACUGCCCGCCUACCCAAAAAGGCCAAUUAAUUCUGGUCACCCUCUCCUAGGGAAACGUACUGGCGGAAUCAUCCCAGGUCCUCUUUUACCGGAUAGAGGGAAUGAUGCUACCUCGCAGAACUCAAAAAAACUGCGAGGCCUCGAGGGCUCCCCGAUAUCACCAACACCGAUCUGACAGGAGCUGUCGAUUUUAACCCCGAGGCAUGGCCAGUUUGAGGGUCCCGGUUGCUCCGAGAACAGAUUCCAAAAGGCCAACAUCGUAAGUCAAAAGCCAAUCCGCAAAAGCAAAGGAGCAAAGAAAAAAGAGACUGAAAAACUGAUAGGAGGAAAAUCCCUCUUUUUUACAUUGCCAAUAACGUAUCCACAAGAAACAUCUUUACAAAAUCCAUCCCCCGAGGGCUACAUACAAAAGGAAAAAGAGGGGAUGCAAAAUGACUUGGGGACUACUCCUCAUUACUACUAUACUCGCCCUCAUCGGGGCAAUUAAAAGCGCCAGUUCUCUCUCCAAUUUGUGGGCUUCCUCGAGAUCAGCUGACAGGUCGACGCCUCUAGCCUCGAUCUCUUCUAGGGUCUCUCUCCUCGUCUCCGCCUUAGCAUGAUUAAAGGCUCGAGCUAGCUUCUGCUCAGCUAUUAUCGAUACGUCAUGAUCUAUUUUGUGCGUCGUGGCUGCGUCCUCCAGACAAGUGGCAGCAUUUCUUUCAGCCUCGGACUUGGCCGCGGCCAAGGCAGCAACCUCCUCGCGAGCAUUCUUGAGAAGAUCCUGAGAUGUCCCCAACUCCAUAGUCGCUACUUCACUUUGCUUCCUCAGCCCAAAAAUCUUCGUGUUUAGUUGGCUAAUCUGUGAACCAUUUUGCUCAACCUACAAAAGAAAGGCAAGCCAAUUUAUGUUAGAAUACGUGAGCAGAAGUCGGGUACAAGCAAGGCAAAAUACCUGCGCAGCAAGGUCGGCCUUUUCCCAGAGCGCCGUCUCCAAAGCAGCUCGGAGCUCUCCUAGUUCUUUCCCUCCCCGGGCAGAGCGAACCUCUGAAUCCCGCAGCAUAGAGGUAAGUUUUUUACACUCCUUUUCAUGGUAAGAACGCUCCUCACGGAGCUGAAGGAAGGCAUGAUCGUACAUAUCCUUACACUACGGCAUAGCGGAAAAGUUAGAAAGACAGAGAACGAUGCCCGAGACUAAAAGAAAUGCACGAAAUAUGGCUAUCACCUACCGCAUGAAUUUCUUCGCCGCUAUCACUAACACCGUAAAAAAUGUUGGCAAUAGAGCCUCCCCCUUGGAGAGGAAUCCCUGCUUUGACGACGAUCGCUUCUCGAGCGUCCUUCAGUUCCCCUGACGAGACCUGGAAGCAUGAGAUAAAGUCAUUCAUGUCACUGACUUCCCCAAAAGUUAACCCCUAUUGUGUGAAUGGAAACUACAUCAAACCUAGUUGUGCGAUUUGAGGCCGCAUUAACACCCUCUUCAAGGGUCUCCGGUUUAUGAGACCGAUCGGAGUUGGCCGUUCCGGACUCAGCAGCCUCCGAUCAAGGCACCUGCGAGGCUCUCGCAUUCGACCUCGUCCUCUGCGCUAGCUGGCAUUCAUUUUUAUCCUCUUCCUCGGUGUCAGGAUUCACCCCUGAAGUUGAAGCAGAGGUCCUAGUAGAGGCUCGAUGCUUGAGUGACCUGGGUUUCUUUGUCGUAGGAAGGGCGAUAGUUGCCUUGCCUUUUCUCUUUUUUCCCUUGACGGGCUCCGAAGCCUCCACUUCACCACGAGGGGGUGGCCUCAUCUGCAUAUUCUCGCCAAGACUUGCACAAGCGCAAUAACCGCAAGAUGUCAUCACUAAGGGCAUAGGUAGAAACACAAAUACGAGGCGUAGGCGGUAAAGAAACUCUACCAUGAUUCUUGGCAACCUAUCGCUCCUUGGCCAGGUCGGUCCAAGACCGAACAAGAUAUAGGAAUGCCUUAUCCAACCACUCGAUCCAUCUCGACAAAUUCGGAACCGCCUCGGGGUACCAAGAAGCGGCUGCAGGAAGCGCAGAGAGGUCGUUAUUUCAAAAGAAAAGUAGUAAAAGUUCUUAAGGGAAAAUUUCUUACGUUGUGUGUUCCAUUUCUCCGGAAAGGGCAUACUCUGGGCCAGGAUGAUAUCCGAGUUCUUUACCCGGACAAAUCUGCUCAUCCACCCUCGAUCCUUUCCCUCGUCGAAGCUCGAGAAAAAUGAUUUUUUGGACCGAUGAUGGAGCCUGAUCAAACCUCGUUAAAAUUGAGGGCUAUACAUCCUGAUCAAAUUAUUGAGGGUAAAAGUCUCACCCCCAACCCCUUCUAUGAAAUGGCGGAGCAUCAAUACUAUCCUCCAGAAAAAAGGAUAGAUCUAACCAAGCGUCACUUGUUACUUGUCACAGAAGUUAAAGAUAACCGGGUGUAUCUCCGAGGGAGAGGAUUCAGAAGGAUUAUCGGGAACUAAGGUGAAUGGGUAGGUAUACACGUAAAGAAAGCCGGCCUUAUAGUCCGUUAUAUUCUCAUUGGGACCAGGAAUCUCCACCCCUACUGCCUUGCUCCAUCGGCAGUCUGUCCUCACCGUUUGUAUGUUGGUCACGACGCUAAUAUAUCGGGACACGUGCUCACAUUGGCCCAGCGUGGAUGAAGUGGUAUCGAUGUUACAAUCCUUUGACAUAUCGAGAUUAGGCGGUGUACACUAUUCUAAGGAAGGAAUCGCUCUGGAUUUCCCCUUAGAAGAUCGACAUGAUGAUGCAACCUCGUUCCGCCGAGGAACCGUUCUAGAAGUCCUAGCCAUAUCAAUGGUAAAUAUUUCUCUAAAAAAAUAUGAAAAACUAUAAAAGACAAUGGGUUCUGACUUGUGAAUUUGAAGAUGGGGUAAAAAUAAGGAGUGUCAAACGGUCGAUAUAUUUAGAGGAACCGCCUAGGCGGCGAAAAGGGCGAGCCAAUAAGCAGUUCAUGGUUUCCUCGAUAAGCGUAAUUGAUGGUGACUCUUGCACGAUUUUUGGAACAUGGCAUUUAAUGCACUUAUCGGUUGAUUUCAUGGCAAUGAUGACCUCAGAACAACGGCUCAAAAUCAUUUCCCGUUACUUCAUCCCAGGAAACGCGGAGACUAUCUGUAUAAGGUGAAAUCGGAAGGUCCGAUUUCUCGCCAUUAAGGCAUUUUCGGGGAGUCAUAUUGAGAUCUCGAGGCUGUGGGGUUGCGCUCAGGUUCUCUCCCUCGAGGUUCAUUUACGCUCAACCCAAUGACGAUCUCGAUGGUGUGGAAUUCCCAAGGCGAGCAGAUAGCACCGGCAGAGUCUAAUAUCAUGUCUAGCCGUCCCAUCUUCGUAUCUUUACAAUUAAUGCAUUUUGUACUAUGUUGUAUUUUCCCCUCCUAUAUAAAGGGGAUCCUCACCACUUUGUAAAGGGCUGCUGUUGCUCCAACUAUUCUACACAAGAUCAAUAACAUCUCUCUCUCUCUUUUCUCUCUAACUUACUCGCUCGAGACUACCUCUUUCAUUUAUUACUUUCAUACUUAUUUUUCAUUUAUUGCUUGAUGUUGUCCAUAAAGAGUCUCUUUUAAUUAUAUCCUAACUAUUAGCCCUUUCCUGAUUAUCCCCGAUAGCUUGAGCCCGAGCCCAGGCAUCGACCUUGAGGCCCCUCAUCGGUCAGUCCGAGGCCCGGACAGCAAGCCCCUCGGUUUGAUCACAACUCUAUUCUAGCUCGCGUUUUAUCUUUUAUCUUCAUAUAUCUAGCAUCAACCGCUCUAACAACUAGCAUAAAAAUAGAUUACAUAUUUUUAGAGUCCCAUCAACAAAUUUAAUUGGUAUUACCAUUUUCACGGUAAACACAAGAUCAAAUGGUGUCUUACUCGUUUAUGAUUUUAACUCGUGCUUCGAUUGCCAAUCAUUUUACUCUAUUUCUUGGAAAGAAAUCCAUUGUGCUUAAAGUCUUCAUUUCUAAUGAACUUAAAGUUACAAAAUAUUCUAUAUGUUGAUGUUUAUGAUGAUGAUCCUUGAAAGUAAAGAAAUAAAAGUGUGGAAAAUAAAAUACGGCCAUUAUACCAUGAAAGAAGAAUCAUAUGUAUGGCCAAGAGAGCCAAUGAAAUAAUGAUGUUGUAAGUGGUUGAAAGUACCAAUGAGGAUAUAAACAGUGUGAAGGGUUAUGAGGUGUAUGUAUUUGUAUUUUUAUUUCCUUUGUAUGCAAAGCAAAAAUAUUUUGAGAGUAUAGUUAGUCACCGAGGAAGGGUAGGUUGAAAUAACCUAACGCCAGAACUGCACGUACUGGUGUAUGAGUGCAUUGUGAUUAUUCCCCUUAUUUGGGAUGAGAUUGAUGUGAUGAUAAUAUACCCCUAAAUUGGGAUGAGAUGAUUGCUAGCGGAGGGUGAUGUCAAUCCACAUGGCAUUGUGGUGAGACAACCUAGCUUAUCGGAUCAUGAUCGGACACCAUGUCGCACACAUGGUGGUGAUUGUGUUUAUGAUUACUGUCACACCUCCUUUUUACUACCCCAGAAGGGAGUAUAAGGGAGUUUUUUUCCAAUUUAAGUGACAAUCAAAACGAGAUUAUUAAUUUAAAAAACCAGAGUCGCCACUUGGGAUAAUUUAUGGUGUCCCAUGUCACCGGUUUUAAAUCUCGAAUCGAGAAAAGAUUGACUCUAUUUAAUAGUCCGCGAACACAGAAAUCUGGAUAAGGAAUUCUGUUAAACCGGGAGAAGGUAUUAGGCAUUCCCGGGUUUCGUGGUUCUAGCACGGUCGCUCAACUAUUAUUAUUGGCCUAUUUAUCUGAUUUUAAAACACUUUUAAACUUAUGUGCAUUUUUAAUUUUUAGCCGCUUUUAUUUAAAGAAUUAUUUCAAGGUUAUUUAAAACAUAUCGCAAGUCACGCUACAUGAAAUGCACUUGUGAUUCACGACACCUUCUAUUUAACCUUGUUGGAAAUUAGAAUCGGUUCAUAUAAAAUGUACACCCGAAUUUUAGCAAUUACAAAUCACAACUACGUUAGGGGAACCGUACCCGUAGCCAUGAUAAUUAUUCAAUUACGGUAGGGUCACAUGAAAUGCACACCAGUAACAUAUGUAAAAAUUAUUUUUUAAGAAGAGAAAAAAAGAAAGAUAAUAAUGUAUCUUUUGUGCACAUUUGUAUCUAAGCUUCAAGAGCAAAUGAUCUAUAAAACCAUAUGAAUUGCAAACUUAGCAGAAAACGACUUACUUUAACCGAUAAGGAGAGUGCCAAAUCAACAGAUCCUCUCAAACCAGACCAUAUGACAAUGGUAACUUCUUUCUGAAAACCUUCUGAUGUAUUGAUAAGGGAACUUGUACAACAAAUCAUCUAUGAAGUGAAUAGAAUGCGAAACCAAUACCGUCGAACUCGAACGGAACCUCGCCAGCAACCUCAAAGCUCGCCAUAAAACUCGAACGACGACCUCACAAACUCUUAAUGAUUCGGACUAGCUACGGUGAACGAAAACUCGAACACGACCUCGAUGAUUCAGCUUUGAAGCUGCUGCUUGCUCGAUUUUAGAGGGAAAUAUUGUCUGCAUUUUUUAGUUGUUUCAGGUGAUUUUUGGGAAGGUUUUGGAUCUGAUUUCGGACUGGUUUUUAAGAGCUUGGUGGAUACUUGUUUUAAUGGAGUUUAUGGGAAUUUUGGGGCUAGUAUUAAUGGAGUUUUAUGGGUAUUUUGGGGCUGGUUUUGCAGUAACUUCAAGCUGUAUUUUUGGAGGAAGACAAGGUGAAGUUGGAGUGUUAAUGGAGCCUUUGGUACAGUUUAUUUCAGCGAGAUCUCAUGGUUGUGUUAAAAUGGUUAAACUAAGGUGAGGAAGAUGAAAUUUGUUGGUGAUAAGUCAUGAAGAAGAAAAAAAGGCAACAGCUCCUCCUUCUCUAGUUGAUGCGCAGCUUUUGCUCUAGAGCUCUAGGAUUUAUCUCCCA
rnacentral:lncRNA from 1 species